rnacentral:rRNA from 1 species
GAUGAACGCUGGCGGCGUGCUUAACACAUGCAAGUCGAACGAGGUCCAUGGAGCUUGCUCCGGAAGACCUAGUGGCGAACGGGUGCGUAACACGUGAGAAACCUGCCCCGGACUCUGGGAUAACAGUUGGAAACGACUGCUAAUACCGGAUACCACCGCACCGCCUGGUGUGGUGAUGAAAGGUCCGCCGGUCCGGGAGGUCUCGCGGCCUAUCAGCUAGUUGGAGAGGUAACGGCUCACCAAGGCAUCGACGGGUAGCUGGUCUGAGAGGAUGAUCAGCCACACUGGGACUGAGACACGGCCCAGACUCCUACGGGAGGCAGCAGUGGGGAAUCUUGCACAAUGGGCGCAAGCCUGAUGCAGCAACGCCGCGUGCGGGAAGAC